CCCAUGGAUAAGUCCCUUGCUCAGCCAUCACCAGAGAAGAUUCCUCUUGCAGUAGAUGUGAAUUAAUACAGAGACUUAUAUCUGGACUAUGCAGAGAGUGAGAGACAUUAUAGCAGUACUAAAUGGAAUGUCUUCACCAAACCCUUCCCCUCAGUGCUUAGGGAGCUAUGCCAAAGAGGAGGCAGAAUGACUCUAAGGGCCAGAGAAGAUGGAAGACACCAAAGAAACAGCAUCUUCCACACAUAACAGGACUGAUGCAAAUAUGAACUCACAGAGACUGUGGAAGUUACAGGGUCUCCAGUUAAGGACAUGGUACCCACAAAGGUCAGAAGACAAGGAGCCCCUGGAACUUGAGCUAUG
rnacentral:lncRNA from 1 species